UACACAUCAUUCAAUGGAUCCUGAAGCUGAUUAUGACUGAUAUUUAAGUAUUGAAGAGAAGUCAUCAAUGAAACGGAAUAAGGAAUGCCUUUAUUGAAGUUGUUUCGUGCAAGAUUUAGUCUUUUUAGAUUAGGUGGAAGGUUGUAGACAAUCUCGCCUCCAAAAUUGUUACUACUCACAUCCAGGUUGGUUACCGAUGUCAUACUUCCAAGCUGGUAUCCGAGCGAUCCACUGAGUCCAAGGCCAGAUAAGUUUAUUUCUG
rnacentral:misc_RNA from 1 species